UUAAGUUCAGCGGGUAGUCCUACCUGAUUUGAGGUCAGAUUUCAAAAAGUUGACCACCACCCUUGAGAGGCGGUCGGGGAAGGGCACAAGAGGGGAACGUCUCAGUCGAGCGAGGAUGGUACAACGCCCAGUCGAGUCCGACCCGCAGGUCCAACCGAUGCAUUUGAGGGGAGCCGCCUCACGGCAGCAUGCCCCCAACU
rnacentral:misc_RNA from 1 species